UACGAAGGGGGCGGGCGUUGUUCGGAAUUACUGGGCGUAAAGGGCGCGCAGGCGGCUCAGACAGUCAGAUGUGAAAGCCCCGGGCUUAACCUGGGAACUGCAUUUGAUACUACUGAGCUUGAGUACGGGAGAGGAUAGUGGAAUUCCCAGUGUAGAGGUGAAAUUCGUAGAUAUUGGGAAGAACACCGGUGGCGAAGGCGGCUAUCUGGACCGUAACUGACGCUGAGGCGCGAAAGCGUGGGGAGCAAACAGG
rnacentral:rRNA from 1 species